rnacentral:rRNA from 1 species
AUUGAACGCUGGCGGCAGGCCUAACACAUGCAAGUCGAACGAGUGGCGGACGGGUGAGUAAUGUCUGGGAACCUGCCCGAUGGAGGGGGAUAACUACUGGAAACGGUGGCUAAUACCGCAUACUAUCAGAUGAGCCCAGAGGGGAUUAGCUAGUGGGUGGGGUAAAGGCUCACCUAGGCGACGAUCUCUAGCUGGUUUGAGAGGAUGACCAGCAACACGGGAACGGCGACACGGUCCAGACGCCUACGGGAGGCAGCAGUGGGGAAUAUUGCACAAUGGGCGCAAUCCUGAUGCAGCCAUGCCGCGUGUAUGAAGAAGGCCUUCGGGUUGUAAAGUACUUUCAGCGGGGAGGCGUUACCCACAGAAGAAGCACCGGCUAACUCCGUGCCAGCCGCCGCGGUAAUUC